AAUGGACAGAGUUACAACAGAGAAUGAAUGCAUUUGAUGCUCAAGUCAGCAAACAGAAGGAAGAAUAUCUAACAAAACAAAAGGAAAUAGAAGAAGAAAGAAAAGGUCUAGAAGAGACCAAAGUCAAGAUUCAAAAGCUGAAAACUAAAGCUGAGCAGGAACAUCAAGACAUAUGCCUAAAAAUGCAAGAGUUGUGCACACUGCAAGAACAUAUUAAGAAAGAAGAAGAGAAAGAAGAAGAAAGGAUGGUAAAAGAAAAGAUGGAGAGAGAAGAAUUUGGUCAGAUAAAGAGUGAACUGGAAAGAGAGAAAACUAAAAUAGAUCAUGAGCAGAAGAAAAUUAAUGAUGCCAAAAAGAUCAUUGAACAGAAAAGAUGGAGAGAGAGGAACUUGAUCAACUGAUGGCCAAGAUAUUGAUAGAACAAAAAGAAACUGAUAGGAGCAAGGAUAUGAUAGACCAUCUAAAGAAGGAAAUGGAGCAAACAAAAGCCGAACUCAAUGCUCAAAAAGAGCAAAUCAAACUGGAAUUGCAAAUAGUGCAAGAUGAGAGGCAAGAUCUGGAACAGUCCAAGGCUGAAAUCAAGAGACAGACUGAUGAAACAGAGAUCAUGAAAGAGCAGACACAACAGUUAGAAAAAGAGAAAGAUGUGUCUGAAACAUUAAAAGAAGAACAUCUAUCUGGACAGCUUCUUCAACAGAAGAGAGAAGAAAUGGCCUCUCAAGGAAAACAGAUACAGAUAGAUGAAGCCAACAGACUCUUGUCUGAGAUUCAAAGGGAAAGGGAAGCACUUGAAAGAAACAAAAAAAUCCUUGAACAUCAGAGAGAGGCACUGGACGAGAUGAAGAGAAAACAACCAACACAGAGGCUGGAAUUAAUUUUGGUUAGUUCUGCUACACAAACAUCUGAUCUAGACAACAUUCCUGUAGGUGACAUUUCAGCACCUCAGGAACAGAUUGUUGAGGAACACACAGGCAUUCCUAAGGAAUAUACAACUUUCAUGACAAAAGGGACGGAAGACGAAUUAGGGAUUAUGAGAGAUCAGGAGGACACAGAGCUCAAAAUGAGAAGUGAAGAAACCAAAAUGGACUCGAGCCAAGAAGACACUGCACUGGCAAAAGAAUAUAAAGAUAUACCUGAUCCAUCCAUGACAGUAAAGUUGGAGUUCAAUAAAGAUGAAGUCGAUGGCCUUACUGAAAUGUUGAUGACGGAGAAAAGGGAACUAGAAAAGACAAGACUUGUUUUACAGAGAGACCAGAAAGAGAUUGAGACAAUGAGACAACACACUGACAGAGAGAGGAAGAAGCUGGAGAAACAAUAUGAAGAGAUGGAGUUAUGCAGACAGAAUAUGGAAAAUGAAAGAUCUGAGUUAGAAAUGACUCAAGAUCAAAUUAAGAUGGACAUGGAAAAAAUUCUAAUGGAGAUCAAGAGCAAACAGGAGAAAAUAGAAAACAUGGAAUUUCAACUACAAAAAAAGAAGAGAGAAAUGGAAACCAUCUCUGCUGAGAUGAAACAGAGACAAGAGGAGUUGGACUUCAUAAAUACAGAGCUAAAACGAAAGAGACAAGAGAUGGUGGACACCAAAGAAAUGGAGGAACACGAGUUAACUGAAAUACUUCCAGAGAGAGAGGAGUAUAUAAAAAGACACCUGGAGGAAAUACAGAACCAAAAGGAAGCAUUAAGAAAGGAGAGGGAUGAAGUUGAAAAAAUACUCACUGGGCUGCAGAAGGAGCAAAUGGAAAUGGAGAUGCGUCAGGCAAUGCUGAACUCAGAAAGAAAUGAACUGAACAGAAUGAGAAUCGAUCUGGAGACACAUAAAGAGGAGUUUAGGCUUAUGAAACAAAACACAGAGACAGAAAGAGACAAGCUGGAAUCAAGGUUAAGGAGAGCAGAGGACAUAGAAAGACUUUUGGAUGAUGUACUGAAAGAAAAGGAAAGGGUAGAAGAAAUGGCAGCUCAACUUUUCAAAGAACAGGAAGAGUUUAAAAUUAUUAUGACUGAGGCGAAUAAAAGGAUAAACAAGAUUAAACAGAUUGAGGAGGAAAUGAAAACAAAGCAAGAAGAAAUGGAGCACACUGAAGAACUGAGACAAAAAGAGCUUCAUCAAAGGAGAGCAGAAUUUGAAAAAAUGAAGACUGAAAUUGACAAUGAAAGAGAAGAAAUUCAGAAGAUACAAAGGGAAUGUGAGAGAGAAAAACAUGAACUGGAGCAAAUAAAAACAGAUUUGCAGAAAGAGGAACCACAGAAAACCAAUGCAGAAGUGCAAUAUGAUGAAACUCACAGUGUUAUGCACACAUUAAAAGAAGAGAAAGAUGAAAUAGAAAGGAUGAAAGCCGACCUCCAGAAUGAGCAGAGAGAAAUUGAAAACAUGAUGGACAUUAUAACAAGAGAGAAGGGUGAGCUGGAAAAGAAGAAAGCUGAAAUGCAGCAAAUGGCUGCAGAAAUAAGGGACACGGACAGUGAUAAGAACUUACAAGAUAAAAUUAUCCAGAUUGAAGCAAUCCUCAAUGAAACCAAGAGACAGAAGGAUGACCUGGAACAGAUGAAUGACAAUUUGAACAGAGAAAAAUCAGAAUUGAAAAGCACUUGUCAGUUUCUAGAAAAAGAAAAGAGAGAAGCAGAAAUGAGAUUACAGGACAUGGUGAAUGAACUGAAUAUUAAGCUUAAGGAAUUAGAAAAUCUACAGUUCAAAACAGAGGAGAGAGAGGCAGAGAAGAAAAAUCUGGAGAAAUUUAAGGAUGAGAUGGCUAAAGAACGUGAAAAAAUUAAAAAGGAAAAUGAAGAUUUAAGAAUGAGAAGAGAAGAGCUGCUGCACAUGAAAGAACAAAUUCAAAAGCAGACAAAAGACCUAGAAGAAAUGAUGAAUGAAGUGACAAUGGAGAAGAGUGAGCUAGAACAAGAGAGGUGUGAAAUAAACAAACACAAACAACAAGUGGAAGACAUUGGGAAAGCUGCAGAAAUAAAGUGGGUUGAGACACAGGUAGCCACUGAAAGGUCCAGACAAGAUGACGAGGACAUGCAAGUCUUAAAAACUGAGAGAAAAAGACUAGCACAUCUGAAUGAUCAAUUGCUGAAAGAGAAAGAGGAAGUUGAAACCACCAAAGAGAGAAUUAAUAGAGAGAUGGAACAUAUUGAAAAGAUGCAAACCCAAUUAAAUGACCAAAAAGAAGAGAUCAAGCUUGAAAAACAAAAAUUAGAAGACAUAAGGACUGAGAUUCAACACGAGACAAAUGCUCUAGAGAAAAUUAUGAAGGACUUACAAAAAGAGAGGGAAAAUCUAAAUGCUUUAGUUAUUCAACAACAAAAAGAAAGAGAAGAUAUGGAUAAACUAGCAGAGGAAAACAAAAGAAGAGAGAAGCAUGCUGAAGUUGAGAUACAGAGACAGUUAGAAGACAUAGAAAAUGUCAAGGUGAGGUUAGCAAAAGAAAGGAAUCAAAUUGAACAGAUGAAUGCAGAAAUACAGACUAAACAUGAAGAGCUAGAGAAAAUAAUCAGAAAACAGCAAGAGGAUUUUGAAAUCAAAGAGAAUGACAUGCAAAGAGAAAGAAAGGCUUUGGAGAAAAUGAAUGCUGAGCUAGAAAGGAAAACCACUGAAAUGGAAAAUAAGAGAGAGAAAGCAGAAGUAAAACAAGAAAAGCAAGAGAUGGAAAACAUUCUGAAAACCAUCAAGAGUGAGUUGGAAGACCUAGAGCAAUUGAGAAAUAAAUCUGAGGAAGAGAAGAAAGAUAUGCUGGACAGACUGUUAACAGAAAAACAUGAAAUGGAUCAAUUAAAAACCGAGUUACAGUUGGAGAAGAAGAGCAUUGAAGAGGAAAAGAAAAUGCUGAAGCAGUUAAUGAACGAAACUGAAAAUAAAAAAUCUCAACUGGACAGCAACAUUGUGCAAAUGAACAAUGACAAACAAAAUAUUCAAAAAGAAAAAGAACUUGACAUGCAAAGAAAAGAUGUAGAUAACUUAAGAAACAUUGUGAUGGCUGAGAAAAUGCAGCUGGAAAAGAGGCAAAUUGUUAUGAAUCAACAGCAGCAAGAGGUAGAUGGCUUGAUGAAUGAAAACAGAAAGGUGAGAAAUGAUUUAGAGAGCAUGAAAACUCAUCUAGAACAAGACAGACGACAACUACAAGAAAAAAUCAAAACAUUUGAAGAUCAGAAGAAUGUUUUUGAUCAAAUCAAAGUUGAUGCAAAGCAACAGACCGAUGAGCUUGAGAAAAUCACAGCAGAUCCUCUUGGAAAGGAAAGAGAGGAGACUGAUGCUUUGAAGAAAGAAAUCCAGAGAAAGAAAGAUGAACUGCAAAGCUUAAAUUUUGAAAUUGAAAGGUCCAAGCAAGAAAUGGCAGAAAACAGAGAACAGUUUGAAAAAGAGAUGGAAAAAUUAACUCAGAAAAGAGCAGAUUUACUGACAGAAAUUGAUCAGCAAGCCAAGACCCAAAUAAAGAAGAAAGAUGUAAAAACAGCAGUGGAGAGUGAAACACAGAUCCAAGCUGCUUUACAAAAG
rnacentral:lncRNA from 12 species